CAGCUGAGAACAGACGGCCCGGCCUCUCAUCUCUAUCGCACUUUUACUCUCUCAGUGGAUGAGGGAUAGAUUGUACUUCUUAAAGGAAGUGGAGAAAACACCAACCAAAGAGAACUCAUGGAUGACUUAAGCUCCAAAAGCAGCCUUUCACCCAUCCAAUGUGCCCUGUUUUUCUUUGCACUAGUCUUCCUAGAUUCACAGGCGGUGGGACGCUGUUCCUCCUACAGAAUGGAAACAACUUGGGGAUAGAACUUCCCGAGCAACCUUUGAACAACAAUGUGCUAUCACUUUCAUCCUAAGAAGUUUUUCCACCAACUUUACCAUACUGCCAUUUUUCCCCCCGCUUUUCUCUUAUGUCUGAAAGGUGUUGCAGGUCUAUUCCUGACCAAAAGCCUUUGACUUCAGUGACUUCAGUGACUUCAGUGACUUCAGUGACUUGUGGAGUGAGUGCAAGCUGAUCAAGGGGUCGAAAAUGUAGAUAUUGCCAGAUGUAUGUUCACUGUCCGAGAAACAGACCGUGGAAGCUUUAUUACCGGCAAAAGUGUCCAUAACCAGAGAAUGGAACACUUAUGGAGAGAUGUUUGGAGUGCUGUGACAUGUCAGUACUACAGCGAGCUGCACAGUUUGGAGGAAGAAGGCUACCUUGACCUGUCGAAUUAUAUCCACAUAUUCUGUGUGGGAUAUGUGUUCCUACCUUGUCUGCGGGCAGAUCUGCAGCAUUUCACAGAGAGUUGGAAUAAUCACCCUUUAAGUACAGUUACGAACCUGACACCUCACCAGCUGUGGCAUAUCGGAAUGCUCCAAAUACCUGUGUCUGAGCCAAACUAUGCAGAGGUAUGUGUCUGUGUGAUAUGUGAAUGGCUUGACAGAUCUUCCUUUAAGUUUAUCAUCACUAACACAGAUUUGUUUGUUUUGAGCAUUCCAGAUUCAAUAGGUGGAAGGUAGGUGUACCUUCUUCAUCAGGAGGAUAAUCUGGAAACUGGAAACACUGACAAUGGUGUCAUUGUUCCUGACAUCUACUGAGGGUCUGCUGUGCUGCAACGUCAAGUGAACCCUACCGCUGACUCCUCAUCUUUUGGUCAGGACAUAUACAUGCAUGCUCUUCGAUUAUUUAUGAGUCUCCAGCCUUUUUAGGUGCAGUGCUCCCACACUAUGUAGGAUAUUGUUUUAGCCCCGGUGCCACUCUUGAUAAUGGCAAAAGAAAAUAAAACAUUUGGAGGAGGGUGAAAGGAUAGCAGGCCCAGCUGUCAAAGUGAGAGAGUAGGCUAUUCUGAAUAGAGCAGGUACUUUUGUGUAUUGUCUAUUUCUUGUGAGGUUUUCUGUCCUCAGAUACAGAGAGAUGUGAAAGCCUGUCUGCAGAUUAAGAGGUCCCAAUGAAGAGCAGCAGUUCUCAGUCCUGGUCCUGGGGACUCAAAAGGGUGCACAUGGUUGUUUUUGCCCCAGAACUACACAGCUGAUUCAAAUGAUCAAGUCAUCAUCAAGCUUCAAGUAGUAUUUAUGUAUUCAUUUGCGACACUAUCCUUGAUAUGAUCCUGCUAGUGUCACAUGCUACACAUGCACAUGCAUCAAUCUAUCCAAUGUUAUCAUUAUUUGUUAUGAGGGUUAUUAUUCUUAUAUUAUACAAUAAGUAUUAUUAAAGAGAUGCUUUACAUUGAAAUACAGAUAGAGAUGUAGUAGUCCCAGAGUUAAUGAUCCAAGAUCAGUUUUGCAUUUCACCUCCUGAUGAUUAUGAUGACCGACCGCGUUAGAAUAAAAAAAGCAAAGCUUAAUCAUGCUCUCUCUCUAUCCAUCUGUCUCUCGUCUGCAGGUAUGUUUUGAUGUGAGAGAGGAAGCCAGUCCCGUCAUCGUCAGAUUGAACUUGUAUUUAUAAUAUAAUAUUACAAUUAUAAUAUUUAUAAAGCAUAACACCUG